GUGAAUCAUCGAAUUUUUGAACGCAAAUUGCACUCUCCGGUUUUCCGGGAGAGUAUGCCUGUUUGAGGGUCUGUUUAAAAAAUAAUCGAGGCUGCUGCUGUGGUGGCUCUUGGGAAUUGGGUCAUCUUUAACCUUUGGGUUGUAAGGGACUUAAAAUUUUUUUUACGUUUUUUCCGAAGGUGUUUAAGAAUUUCUUGUACGUUAACGA
rnacentral:misc_RNA from 1 species